CUUACUCCGGAGACUUGGCUGUGACUUCUCAGGUGAUUCCAUGAGAUGUAAGUGGCCCCAGAGUGAGGGCCCAUUGGAGAAUGCAAAUGCAUCCUGGUAUCGGCUUUCUUUGCUUCCUGCUCUCUCUGUCCUCAGCCCUGCUGCCUGGAAUCACCCUUUCAAAGAAACUUACUCUCACAUAAGCCUCUAUCUCAGGCUCUACUCUGGGUAACCCAGGCUAGAAAAACAGACCAAGAGAGUGAGAAGGAGAUGGAGAUGUCUUCCUUGGAGGGCUUCUUGAAUUCAGCAAGUCGGGGCAGGAAACAGGGGCUUCUCAGAACACAUGGUCUGCCUUGGCCCUGAAGCCCACCAGACUCUGUGGGGAGAUAAAAGGAAGGAGCUACAAGAUCUAGGCAAGAAAUGGCAAACCUGGUGUUUCUUCACCUUGGACUUUUCUCAGUAUCUCUGUGCCUGUUUCAGUCAUGAGCAAAGUUCAAUGACAAACCAAGGAAAUGGGCCAAGCCGGUCUGGAGACUGAUGCUCCAAACAGCUGCCAGCACACGUACCUCUCCUGUCUGCUCCAAUCACUCGAUUCUCAUUUCCCCAUAAGCCCCUUCGCCUCCCUCAGCAGCCCCAGGACUCCCCGUGACUCUGUGAUCUCCACAAUCACUAGUGAAGGCUAGGACAACAACAAGCUUUUAUCAUCAUAUUCACCCCUUGCCAACAAAGCUGAAUGGUGCCCAGUUCUUUGAAACUUUCCUUUAGUCCUUGCCGCUGUGAUGGAUGAGCCUUCUCAUCAUGUGCUUUGUUUUAAGCUACCACAGAUCCAAACGCUAGUCUCUGCAGAUGAGAAAAGACAGGGGCAAAUACAUUUACUUUAUGAGGUUGUUCACAGUCCAUAAAACAUUCAGUUGAAAAAGGAUUUUUUUUUUUCAGACAGAGUCUCACUCUGUCACCCAGGCUGGAGUGCAGUGGCACAAUCUCGGCUCACUGCAACCUCCACCUCUUGGGUUCAAGCGAUUCUUCUGCCUCAGCCUCCUGAAUAGCUGGGAUUACAGGUGCCUGCCACCACGCCUGGCUAAUUUUUGUAUUUUCUCUUCAAAUCAAAAUUAAUAGCAGAAGAGGAAGAUGAGAAGUUGGAUACACUCUUCAAAGAAGCUCCUCGGAUAAGGAUUUAGGAUUCAAAACUCUGUGCCUCUGGUGUUUUUUCAAAACAGCAGACUUCCUUUUCUUAAAUUAUUCUUUGUUUUUGCUUUCUUAAAUUAUUUCACCAUUUUUCCCCUCUAAAUAAGAAUUGAAAAAAAUGGAAAGAAAAGAGUCAAGAAUAAGGAGAGUAUGUCACAUUGCAUGCCUAUAUCAAAACAUCUCAUGUACCCCAUGAAUAUGUAUACCUGCUAUGUACCCACAAAAAUAAAAGUAAAAUAAAAUAUAAAGAAAACAGGAGUGGAAGUAGAAAUAAAACAAGAGGGAGAAAUUAAUUACCAACUUGGGAGAAAAUAGAAACCAUGUGUAGAAGCAAGUUUCAUGUUUGCCUUACUUGGUUUUCUUCUGUGGGAACAAGACAAAUGGAAAAGUUCCAGAGAAUUCACCCUGGAAGUGAACAUUCCCAUCUUCUCUGAAAACUUACCUGCAAAUGGCUUUUACAGCCUUUUCCUGAGAAUGCAGAGAUCAGUACUCCCAGAGGUACUGAAAGAAGACACGUUUCACUGCUUUCUAAAGAACUUCUGACUGGGCAUGAAGGAGUGAACCAACUGAUCAGGAAAUUGCCAGUCUUCAAAAGGCCUCAUUGCCAGUGGAAAGAGGAGAAACAGAAAAAAAUGACCCUGCAGAAAGCAAAUGCUCUGAUGAUUCAUGCAUUAUUUGCAAUUUUUUUGAAUAAGAGCUAAAAACUAAACACUACUUGAGGCUGGGAAUUUCUCUGGGGGAAAGAAUAAAGAGUUAUUUCCCUCUCAGGACAACACCUAAUAUUUGCACAGCACGAUGAGCCUGUGUUCCAUUGCUGCACGUGGUGAGCCUUUGAACUGAGAGUGGCUGAGCGCAGAGUAACCCUGGUAGCACCCCUGGGCCACCUGAAACUGAUCGUGCUGUCUUCUUUGGAGUGGCUGCCCCUUUAAAAGAAGACUUAACCCGGGGGACUUUAUCUGGCUCUGUGAUUCAGCUGGAAAGAGACCUGAGCAAGGCCCGGGUAGGGUUGCAGAGCAAAGGGGCGGUUUGUCCUACAGCCUAAAGAAGACAGAACCAUGAUGAAGCGGCAUAGUUCGUCUGCGUAAUACCUGAGGUGCGUUGCCUCAUGCCAAGGAAAUCAAGGACAUGGACACGCAUGGAGUGAGGGUAAGAGUGGAGGUUUAAUAUUGCAAAAGAAAGAGAAAAGAGAACAGCUCUCUCUCCUGCAGAGAGAGAGAGAGGGGCUCCUGAAUGUGUCUUCUGGUUUUGUGGUGAAGUGCACGGGGUUUUAUAGACUGGCUUGAGGAGGCGGUGUCUGAUUUACAUAGGGCCCAAAGAUUGUUUGACCGGGG
rnacentral:lncRNA from 10 species